rnacentral:lncRNA from 1 species
CUGCGAACAGAGUAGCCUAGCGGGCUAUAGUCCAUGGGGUGUCAAAGAGUCAGACUCCACUGGGAAACUAACACUUUCACCUCACUACUCCUCGAAAUUUUAGUUGACUUAGUUGUUUUGGAUGUUCUCAAUAGAUUUUAAUUUUAUACAGAGAAAUCCAGGGUCGUGUGCCUUUUGUGCUAUGAGGGUUCUAUUGUUCAAAUACUAAACAAAUUGUAUUCUGUAUAUGUAUUGUUUUUUGUUAACAACACAGUACGUAAGCCUGAAGGAAAUGAGCCUGGCUAUGAAAAUGCUUAUUUGUUGGGAGGGUGCUUGUCUGGAUCGAUGAUGAGAAAAACUGUCUGAGGAUGCUGAGGGACUCAUUCCAGAUGUCAAUCUGAGGUCCAGAUAAAUGCCCCUCUUACCGGACAAAUAAGAACCUCAGAGCCUGGCUUUGACUACAUAACACUGCUAAGGACUGAAAUGAGGGCCUCUACUUCAGAGAACAGGGGUGAAGUUGCCAGGCAUGACUGUCCGUCACCCAGGAGACAAAGCCCCACCCAUAAAGUGGUGACUCGAGGCGCAAGGGAGUCCGGCGAGAAGUGUGGCGGGCCCAGGUUGCUGCCAGUUCUUUUAGGAUCACCGAGCAGGGUACGCCUUCCCCUGCCCCAAGAUGUGUCAUGGAUUUCGGCUUUUCUGGGACUACCUGAGUGGCUGUGAAGUUUCCAAGUACGAGUGUCCGUCACUCAGGAAACGGAGCCCUGCUCAUGAGAUGUUGACUCGAGGUGUUGGGAAGUCCGGUGAGAAGUGUGGUGGGCCCAGGUUGCUGCCACUGCUGUUUGGAUCAUCGAGCACGGUGAAGUUGCCAGGCAUGACUGUCCGUCACCCAGGAGACGAAGCCCCGCCAAUGAGGUGGUGAAUCGAGGUGCAGGGGAGUCUGACGAGAAAUGUGGUGGGCCCAGGUUGCUGCCAGUUCUUUUGGAAUCACCAAGCACAUGGUACGC